UAGGGUUUCGUGUGUGUGUGUGUGUGUGUGUUGGAAUUUUAUGUAUGAGGAACAUUGGGCUGUAGAUUUUUAUUUCUUGAUGAUGUCUUUGCCUGGAUUUGGUAUCAGAGUAACACAGUAGGUUGGGAAAUGUCUUCCCUAUUGCCUGAAAAGUUUUAUGUGGGAUUGGUAUUAUUUCUUUCUUAAAAAAUUGAUAGGAUUCACCAGUAAAACAUUGUAGGCAUGGGCAUUUGUGAGAAGAUGUUAAUUACUAUUUCUUUCUUUUUUUUUUUUUUUUGCUUGUUUUAGAUGUGUUCAGUUUUUCUAUUCUGAGUCAGUUCAGUUUUCGUUAUUUAUGUCAUUUUAGAAAUUUUUUCAUUUCACCCAUAUUGUCUAAUUUGUUGGCAUAAAGUCAUCAUAUGUCUUGUAAUACUUUUAAUUUCUGUAGUGUCAGUAGUGAUGGUCCCAGUUUCACUCUUUAUUUUGAUAACUUGGCUUUUUUCCAACUUUUAAAAAACUGUGGUAAAAUGAACAUCAAGUUUUCCAUCCUAACCAUUUUUUCAGCUGGAGUUUGGUGGUAUUAUGUACAUCCACGUUGUUGUGCAACCAUCACCCCCUCCCUCCUCAGAACCCUUGUUAUCUUGCACAGCCAAAACUCUGAAUCAGUGAAACACUAACUUCCUAUGAAGUCCUCCCCACUGCCCCUGGCAACUACCAGUCAACUUUUCAUUUUUAUGAAUGGUACCUCCCAUGAGUGGGAUCAUAUAGUAUUUGUCCUUUUGUGACUGGCUUAUAUCAUGUAGCAUCACAUAUUUAAGGUUCAGGAAUGUUAUACCAAGUGUUAAAAGUUUCUUAUGAGGGCAUAAUAAUCUUUGGAUCUAAAGUAAGUCUCUUGUAGGCAACCUAUCAUUGCAUCAUGUUUAUGAAUCUGUUCUUCCAAUUUCUUUCUUUUGUUUGGAGAGUUCAGUCCAUUUACACUUAAUUACUUGUAAGGAGGAACUUCUGUCACUUGCUGUUUAUUUUCUGAAAGCCUUAUAAUGCUUUCCCCCAUAUUUCCUGCAUUACUUUGGUCUUUUGUGUUUAGUUGACAUUUUUAAUAUACAAACAUUUAGUUCCCUUCUCAUUUUCUUUUGUGUGUGUUCUAGAGCUCUUUUCUAUGCCGUUACCCCAAGGCUUACAUUAACAUCCUAAAGUUAUAAAACUUUAAUUUGAAUUUAUGCCAGCUUAACUUUAAUAACAUAUAAAAAUUCUGCUUUUAUACACCCCCAUCUCCACUUCUUUUUUGUCACAGAAUAACAUCUCUCUCUCUAUAUGUCCAGAAAUAUUGACUAAUCAUUGUGCUUUUAUGUACUAGUCUUUGAAUCAUGAUGAAAAGAAAAGAUGGACUUAUAAACUAAAGUUACUGUAAUACUGGCUUUUAGACUAAUUAUUGUUUUAUUGAAUGUAUUAAUCUCUUAAAUCAUGUAAAUUACAAAAAGCAAAGUUAGAACAAUACUAAAUGUUUUACUUUCUCUUGUGUAUUUAUUAUUACUGAGAUCUUUACUUUUUCAUAUGGCUUCAAGUUACUGUCUAGUGUCCUUUUCAACCUGAAGGGUUCUCUGAAGCAUUUAUUCCAAAACAGGUUUAAUAGUAAUAAACUCCUUCAGUUUUUAUCUUGGAAUGUUUCAGUUUCUCCCUCACUUGUAGAAGACAGUUUAGCCUAAUAUAGGAUUAUGGUUGGCAGGGUUUUUUUUUUUUCUGUUAGUGCUUUGAAUAUAUCAUAACACUACUUUCUGGCCUACAAGGCUUCUGAUAAAAAAAAAUUUGCUGAUAUUCUCAUUGAGGAUCCUCUGUAUGUGAUGAGUUGCUUCUCUCUUAACUGCUUUCAAGUUUCUCUCUUUAUCUUUGACUUCCUGUUGACAGUUUGAUUAUAAUGUGCCUCAGUGUGGGUUUCUUUGAGUUCAUCUUGGAGAAUAGAGCUUCUCAGAAGUUUAUAUUCAUGUAUUUCCUCAAAUCUGGGAAGUUUUGACAAUUAUUUCUUCAAAUAAUCUUUCUCUUCUGGGACUCACAAUGUAUAUGUUCAUGGUCUUGAUGAUGUCCCACAGGUUUCUUAGGCUUCCUUCACUUUUUUGUCUUUUUUCUUUCUGUCACAUAGGUUUGACCAUUUCAAUUAUCCUAUGUUCAGGUUCACUGAUUCUUUAUCCUUCCUACUUAAAUGUGCUUUUGAAUACUUCUAAUGAAAUUUUCAUAUCAAUUAUUGUAUUUUGAGCUCCAGAAUUUUAUUUGGUGUGAUUUAUAUUUUUAACUUUUUAAUUUUUACUUUCAUUUUGUGCCUACGUCAUUUUAUUGACUUUCUCCAUAUCUUCCUUUAGUUCUUUUAGUAUCUUUAAGACAGUUGUUUUAAAUUCUUUGUUCACCUUCUUUCUCAGGGGUGAUUUCUGUUUAUUUUUCACUGAGCAUGCCAUACUGUCUUAUUUUUUUUUAUGCCUUGUGAUUUUUAUUGAAAACUGGACAUUGGAAUAUUUCAAUAUAGUAACUCUGGAAAUCAGAUUUUCCCCUUUGCCCAUGUUUUGCACCAUCUGUGUGGGAUUCACUCUGAGAUGUAAACUUUAGGUUUUUUUUGAGCCUACACUCUUCUCUGGGCAUGUACAGAAACUCAAAACUCCUUUCUAUUUGGGUGGCUGCUUUUGAAUAGCAUAGUCUCUAAAUACUUGGCUUCUAAGAGGAGACAAAAAGAAAAGUGAAGAGGGGUAAUAAGAGAAAAUAGAAAGGCUCUGGCCCUUUAAAUCCGGGGGCACUUCAUUUGGAGGGGGAGGAACUUGCAACAAUGGCUUCUGCUUCUGUGUCUGCACCUCCAUGAUUAGAAACUGCAAUUGGUGAUCAGGACGUAGAUCCCUGAUACUUGGAGAACAUGAUACUUACUGCUCACCUUGGAUCCCGAGAGCUGUGUGCAUGUUGCUCUAGGUUUGCUCCAGGAAAUGCAUAGGGCUGGCUGCCAUGAGGUUGGGAGGUGAAGAGUGUGUAGCCAUUACUGUGCUAAGAGCUGAAAUCACUUCACUAGAGCACAAUUCACCAGCCAAGUCUUUCCUGGGAAGUUGCAACAUUCAACAGACCCUAGGGUUCCCAAAGAAGUGCGUCUGACGGAUUUGGCCGGUGCAGUUGCUGUUUAGGUGGGGAGAUGAUUCCUGGUGCUUCCAACUACACCAUCUUCUAAGAAGCCUCUCUAGUUGUUUUCUUUUGGUCACACUAAUAAUGGUUAACUUUUUUGAUCAUUUCAAAGAAGUUUAAUUGUUUUUUUCUAUUUUUUAAUAUAUUUUAUUAUUUGUGCAUUGAUUUUAUUACUUCCUUUCUUGUCUUACUCUGUGAUUUGCUUUUCUUUUUUCUAGGUUCUUGAGGUAGAGACUGAUUAUUUAUUUCAGAUCUUUCUCUUUUUCACUAGGAGGGUUUAAUGCCAUAAGCUUCUUUCUAAGCAUUCUUCAGCUGCAUUUUGUAAAUUUGAAAGUGUUUGUUUUCAUUAUUUUAAAUUGUUUUCUAAUAUCCCUUUAUGGUUUAUAUUAAUUUGGACCUAGUAAUAAUGAAUUUUCUCAGCUUCUAUUUUUCUGUGAAUGUCUUUUUAUUGCCAUUAUUAACAAAAUAACUCCAUCAAGGCAUAGUUUCAUAUCAUAUAAUAUACCCUUCUUGAGUGUACAACACCAUAGUGCUCCGGUUGUUUUAGUAAGUUGUGCAACCAUAACCAUGAGUACCAUUUACACCAUUUGGUUGCCCCGUGUCCUUCCUGCCUCUCAUCCACUGUUAAUCCCCACAUCCUUCCCCAUCCCUGCCCCCUGCCUCAGGCAAACACCAAUUUUUGUCCUAAUAGCUUCUCUUUUCUGAAUGCUUUAUGAAAAUGAAAUCAUACAAUAUGUGAUCUGUUGUGUCUCCUUUCAGUGAGCAAAAGGGUUUUGAGGUUUGUCCAUGUCAUAACAUGUCCCAGUAGUUCAUUGUUUAUAAUUGCUGAGUAGUAGUGGAUUGUGUGAACAUACAUUGACUUCUGAACAACGUGUGGGUUAGGGAUGCCGACCGCCUGUGCAGUCCCAAAUCUGCCUGUAACUUAAGUGAG